AACGCACCUUGCGCUCCCUGGUAUUCCGGGGAGCACGCCUGUUCGAGUGUCAUGAAAUUUCUCAAGCUUUGGAUGGCUUUUUUGUCUGUCCCCCUUAGCCUUGGUUAUUGGGUUUUGCCGUGCCCUACUUUGGGACGGCUGGCCUUAAAAGCAUUAGCUGAUCCUCAUGUGACAACUGGUUCUACUCAGCGUGAUAAUUUCUCAUCGCUUGAUGUUAUCUUUCGGGAUAGCCAGUCAUCAUUUGGAUUGCUUUCUAAUACUUGCAAGGUUUUGUGGAUUCUUGAAUCCAUAUUUCCGAAUUUUUCAACUUUGACCUCGAAUCAGGUGGGACUACCCGCUGAACUUAA
rnacentral:misc_RNA from 1 species